rnacentral:lncRNA from 1 species
UCUCUUUAAAAUAAAGAUGAGUUCUUAAACCAGCCUUACACAACCAUAUAUAUAUAUAUAUAUAUAUAUGCUCAGAUGAAAGAAAAUAUGGACUCAAUACAAUCAUAACUUUAAUACCAUUGUCUCCCAUCAUUUAUUUCUAACAAGACAAAUAUCACUCUUUAGGGCUAUCUAGUGAUCGAAACCCAGUAAAGCUAUAUAGCGACAAAGUAGAGGCAUACGAAAUGAUAGCGUCUCAAGGAUGACACGAUGGUCACAUAAUGGGUAACUCACGAACUACUUUCUUUUUCUGCUCAAGGGGAUCCAUUCGGCUGUGCUGUUUCUCUAUGAAGGCUAUAGCUUUCCUGUCUAUGUCGUCGUUGCUUCGUCCAGCUCCUCUUGGUUGCCUUGUCUCCGUUUCUGCGUCAUCGCCCUUUCUUGGUUGCCUCACUCCCUCCUGUGCCCUCCUUGGAUUCUUUGCUUUCACCUCUUCCUCCAGGCCCUUAUGGUGAACCCUCUUGAAGCCGAGAAAGGCAAAGAAGGACUUCCUCCCUCGCCCCAUUUUCCGUUUAUGUUUCUUUCUAUGAUCAACUUACAAUAAUCUUUGUUUAUAUAAGGAUAAGGAGCUUCUCUUU